GGCGGAAUCGAAGACUCCCCUAGGCAAUCCGAGUUCGACUCGAACUCUAAGAUCGCGCCUAUUUAAUUUUCCUCCCCCUCCUUUAAUUUCCACUACCAGAACCGCUGAUUCCAAGUUUGUUUCUCCAAGUCUCCUCCUUUAAUCCUUGCCGGAAACCUUGCUAGAAGCUUCAACGGACUGAGGUAAGAGUUUCUAGUCCUUCCUUUCCUGGUAUUUUAGCCUUGAUUGGCCCCGAUUUGAGCCAGCAAAUCACCAGAAUACCUCCUGAAACAGGGGUACCCUAUUUCAGCAUCCUUUCGAGUUAUGCCGCCACCGGCCGCCGGAUUCGGCUGGUUUCCGCCGCCGUCUAAGACCUUGAGAACAUGUGGCUGCCUGUUAUGGAGUUAGCCAUAGUUCAGGCCGAGUUGCCAUGGAUCAUCCUCCACCUUUUUCGGGAUCUUCCCUUCUUUCUUGUAUCAGCCAGCCACC
rnacentral:lncRNA from 1 species